GUACACUCCUGCGGGAGGCAGCAGUGGGGAAUUUUGGACAAUGGGCGAAAGCCUGAUCCAGCCAUGCCGCGUGCAGGAUGAAGGCCUUCGGGUUGUAAACUGCUUUUGUACGGAACGAAACGGCCUUUUCUAAUAAAGAGGGCUAAUGACGGUACCGUAAGAAUAAGCACCGGCUAACUACGUGCCAGCAGCCGCGGUAAUACGUAGGGUGCAAGCGUUAAUCGGAAUUACUGGGCGUAAAGCGUGCGCAGGCGGUUAUGUAAGACAGUUGUGAAAUCCCCGGGCUCAACCUGGGAACUGCAUCUGUGACUGCAUAGCUAGAGUACGGUAGAGGGGGAUGGAAUUCCGCGUGUAGCAGUGAAAUGCGUAGAUAUGCGGAGGAACACCGAUGGCGAAGGCAAUCCCCUGGACCUGUACUGACGCUCAUGCACGAAAGCGUGGGGAGCAAACAGGAUUAGAAACCCCUGUAGUCCCA
rnacentral:rRNA from 1 species